rnacentral:pre_miRNA from 9 species
UCUCGAUAGCGUAAAAGUUAACUCAAAUUUGUAUGGAUUUGGAAUGUUUGCCUACGUUAGCCGUUAGGGGCGCUGUUCCAACUGCAUACAAAUUUUAACUUUUACUCUAUCGA